GCUGAGGUAGCCUAGUCCGGUAAGGCGCUGGCCUUGAGAGCCAGUGGCGCAAGCCGCGGGAGUUCAAAUCUCCCCCUCAGCG
rnacentral:tRNA from 1 species